UAAUUUGAUGCAUGGUACAUGCAUGUGUAAGUACAAUGUUUUAAACAUGAAACCGCGGAAAGCUCAUUAUAACAGCUAUAGACUACACGGUAAAUAUUUUAGUUGGAUAACUGAGGUAAUUCUUGAGCUAAUACACGCUUUUUAUACCACAUUAGUGGUGCGUUUAUUUGAUUAAACCAUUUUUUCGGUUGACUCAAAAUAUCCUUGCUGAUUUUGUUAUUAAAACAUACCGUAUGUGUAUCUGGUUUAUCAACUUUCGAUGGUAGGGUAUUGGCCUACCAUGGUUGUGACGGAUAACGGAGAAUUAGGGUUCGACUCCGGAGAGGGAGCCUGAGAAACGGCUACCACAUCCAAGGAAGGCAGCAGGCGCGAAAAUUACCCAAUUUUAGUUCAAAGAGGUAGUGACGAAAAAUGACAACCAAAUAUUAUUAUUAAUAUUUGGAUUGAAAAUCUUCAAGUUUAAAUAACUUGUUGGUAAAGGAAAGGGCAAGUCUGGUGCCAGCAGCCGCGGUAAUACCAGCUUUCCG
rfam:Strongyloides venezuelensis genome assembly, scaffold: SVE_contig0000034